UGAGGAUCAUCAAAUUGUACAUAAAGUCUGUAGAAGUAAAGUACGGAAGGUAGAUGAUGUUUCCCUAUUCGGUGGAAGAUCCAAAAAUGAGAAAACAUGAAGCAGAAAAGCUUUUUAGGAAGGAUGACAAUGGUAUCUGUACAUACCAA